rnacentral:rRNA from 1 species
AGAGCGAACGCUGGCGGCAGGCCUAACACAUGCAAGUCGAGCGCCCGUAGCAAUACGGGAGCGGCAGACGGGAUAGUAACACGUGGGAACGCGCCCUUCGGUUCGGAAUAACUCAGGGAAACUUGAGCUAAUACCGGAUACGCCCUUACGGGGAAAGAUUUAUUGCCGAAGGAACGGCCCGCGUCCGAUUAGCUAGUUGGUGAGGUAAUGGCUCACCAAGGCGACGAUCGGUAGCUGGUCUGAGAGGAUGACCAGCAUCACUGGGACUGAGACACGGCCCAGACUCCUACGGGAGGCAGCAGUGGGGAAUAUUGGACAAUGGCGCAAGCCUGAUCCAGCCAUGCCGCGUGGAUGAUGAAGGCCUUAGGGUUGUAAAGUCCUUUUAACGGGGAAGAUAAUGACGGUACCCGUAGAAUAAGCCCCGGCUAACUUCGUGCCAGCAGCCGC